AAGCUUACGUUAGACUAAACCAGAGGCCUUCAAAGCCCCAAACAAGAGCACACCCCCUCCUAGCUUCU
rnacentral:tRNA from 1 species